AUUGAACGCUGGCGGCAUGCCUUACACAUGCAAGUCGAACGGUAACGGGCCUUCGGGUGCCGACGAGUGGCGAACGGGUGAGUAAUACAUCGGAACGUGCCCGAUCGUGGGGGAUAACGAGGCGAAAGCUUUGCUAAUACCGCAUACGAUCUACGGAUGAAAGCAGGGGACCGCAAGGCCUUGCGCGGACGGAGCGGCCGAUGGCAGAUUAGGUAGUUGGUGGGAUAAAAGCUUACCAAGCCGACGAUCUGUAGCUGGUCUGAGAGGAUGAUCAGCCACACUGGGACUAAGACACGGCCCAGACUCCUACGGGAGGCAGCAGUGGGGAAUUUUGGACAAUGGGCGCAAGCCUGAUCCAGCCAUGCCGCGUGCAGGAUGAAGGCCUUCGGGUUGUAAACUGCUUUUGUACGGAACGAAAAGCCUUCUUUUAAUACAGGAGGGUCAUGACGGUACCGUAAGAAUAAGCACCGGCUAACUACGUG
rnacentral:rRNA from 1 species